GCCUACCAUGCCAGUUCGAGCGCGAAAGUUUUCGGAUGAGUAGAGCGGCGAACGGGUGAGUAACGCGUGGGAAUCUGCCUGGUAAUGGGGGACAACAUCUCGAAAGGGAUGCUAAUACCGCAUACGCCCUAAGGGGGAAAGUGGGGGAUCUUCGGACCUCACGUUAUCAGAGGAGCCCGCGUCGGAUUAGCUAGUAGGUAGGGUAAAGGCCUACCUAGGCGACGAUCCGUAUCUGGUCUGAGAGGAUGAUCAGUCACACUGGAACUGAGACACGGUCCAGACUCCUACGGGAGGCAGCAGUGGGGAAUAUUGGACAAUGGGGGCAACCCUGAUCCAGCCAUGCCGCGUGUGUGAAGAAGGCCUUCGGGUUGUAAAGCACUUUAAGUUGGGAGGAAGGCUUCACGGAUAAUACCUGUGAGGAUUGACGUUACCAACAGAAUAAGCACCGGCUAACUCCGUGCCAGCAGCCGCGGUAAUACGGAGGGUGCAAGCGUUAAUCGGAAUUACUGGGCGUAAAGCGCGCGUAGGCGGCCAUUUAAGCUAGAUGUGAAAGCCCAGGGCUUAACCUUGGAACUGCAUUUAGAACUGGAUGGCUAGAGUAUGGAAGAGGAGUGUGGAAUUUCAGGUGUAGCGGUGAAAUGCGUAGAGAUCUGAAGGAACAUCAGUGGCGAAGGCGACACUCUGGUCCAAUACUGACGCUGAGGUGCGAAAGCGUGGGGAUCAAACAGGAUUAGAUACCCUGGUAGUCCACGCCGUAAACGAUGUCGACUACCCGUUGGCCUCCUUGAAGGGGUUAGUGGCGCAGCUAACGCGAUAAAUUCGACCGCCCUGGGGGAGUACGGCCCGCCAAGGUUUAAACUCAAAAUUGAAUUUGACGGGGGGCCCCGCACCAAGCCGGUGGGAACCAU
rnacentral:rRNA from 1 species